rnacentral:rRNA from 1 species
UGGGGGAUAUUGCGCAAUGGGCGAAAGCCUGACGCAGCGACGCCGCGUGGGUGAUGAAGGCCUUCGGGUCGUAAAGCCCUGUCGAGGGGGAAGAAACAGCAGCGACCUAAUACGUCGCUGCCUUGACGGUACCCCUAAAGGAAGCACCGGCUAACUCCGUGCCAGCAGCCGCGGUAAUACGGAGGGUGCAAGCGUUGUUCGGAAUCACUGGGCGUAAAGCGCGUGUAGGCGGUCCGCUAAGUCUGAUGUGAAAGCCCGGGGCUCACCCCCGGAAGUGCAUUGGAAACUGGCGGACUGGAGUCCCGGAGAGGAGGGUGGAAUUCCUGGUGUAGCGGUGAAAUGCGUAGAUAUCAGGAGGAACACCGGUGGCGAAGGCGGCCCUCUGGACGGUGACUGACGCUGAGACGCGAAAGCGUGGGGAGCAAACAGGAUUAGAUACCCUGGUAGUCCACGCUGUAACGAUGAGCACUAGGUGUCGCGGGUAUUGACCCUGCGGUGCCGCCG